UACGUAGGUGGCAAGCGUUGUCCGGAAUUAUUGGGCGUAAAGCGCGCGCAGGCGGUUCCUUAAGUCUGAUGUGAAAGCCCCCGGCUCAACCGGGGAGGGUCAUUGGAAACUGGGGAACUUGAGUACUGAAGAGGAAAGCGGAAUUCCACGUGUAGCGGUGAAAUGCGUAGAGAUGUGGAGGAACACCAGUGGCGAAGGCGGCUUUCUGGUCAGUAACUGACGCUGAGGCGCGAAAGCGUGGGGAGCAAACAGGAUUAGAAACCCCCGUAGUCC
rnacentral:rRNA from 1 species